UACAAUUGUUACGGACCUGCCGGCUCCUCCUCCUCGUUUUGUCUAUUUGCAUCUCCCCUACAGGUGAGCGGAGCACAGGUGUGACGGGUUUCCUAUGAUUCCUUCCAGGAACACCUGGGAUGGCUUUAUCUUUCCAGGUACCGGGAUUUGCGGGAGCUCUUGGUAUGCGGGAGGGUGAUUGGAGCUGCUGGAGAGUAGAGUGGUUUUUGGCCUGUGGACAAAAGGGUUCCUGUGUCCAGUCCAUGUGAUUGGGCUGUCAACAUACCGAAACGAAAGUUAAGUGCUCAUUUUGAGUUUAUAGAUUCAUUUAAAAAAAUUAAGAAUGUUUUGUUUAUUUUUUUGUGUGGGGUUUCGAACAUUUUUAUUGCAGAGGCCUUUAGGGGCCUCUGUCUUAAGGGAGGAGGUGUUACGGACCUGCCGGCUCCUCCUCCUCGUUUUGUCUAUUUGCAUCUCCCCUACAGGUGAGCGGAGCACAGGUGUGACGGGUUUCCUAUGAUUCCUUCCAGGAACACCUGGGAUGGCUUUAUGUAUCCUGAGGGGUUUAAAAGCUGGGGAGACCUGGUGGAAGGAGGGCUGCCGCUUCUCGUUCUCUCCCGCACCGUUUUGCUGAUUUUGUUUCCUUUUACAUGACUUUUCAUAUACCCUGAUUUCAUACGCUUUCAGUUCUCCUGACUAACACUUAUACUGACUUCAUUUACUUUACGUUGCUCAUUCGUUGUCCUUAAUAAACGGUAUUUUCUUUCAAUCAACUCAUCCGCGUGGUCUUCC
ensembl:lncRNA